rnacentral:rRNA from 1 species
UGGGGGAUAUUGCACAAUGGGCGAAAGCCUGAUGCAGCGACGCCGCGUGGGGGAUGAAGGCUUUCGGGUUGUAAACCUCUUUCGCUAUCGAACAAGGCCCGCUUAGGGUGGGUUGAGGGUAGGUGGAGAAGAAGCGCCGGCUAACUACGUGCCAGCAGCCGCGGUAAUACGUAGGGCGCGAGCGUUGUCCGGAAUUAUUGGACGUAAAGGGCUUGUAGGCGGCUUGUUGCGCCUGCUGUGAAAACGCGGGGCUUAACUUCGCGCGUGCAGUGGGUACGGGCAGGCUUGAGUGUGGUAGGGGUGACUGGAAUUCCAGGUGUAGCGGUGGAAUGCGCAGAUAUAUGGAGGAACACCGAUGGCGAAGGCAGGUCACUGGGCCAUUACUGACGCUGAGGAGCGAAAGCAUGGGUAGCGAACAGG